GUUAUCUUCUAUAAAUAGAAGGAAAGGCAGGCAACUCUAAGAAUCUUUGUUUGUGCCUCCCAGGAUUGUAAGGGGCAUAUAUCUUUAAAUCAAGCAGUCAAUUCUAGUACAGUCUAUUCAAUAGUCAUUUCAGGAGUUUAAUGCACAUGCACACACACACAAAAGCCCAUUAUAAUAUUUCAAGUCAAAAUGGGCCUAAUACAUAAUUUGGACCUUGAACUUUAUCCAAAAACCUGUUAGGCCCCUGUAUUUUGAUUUGACCCUAUUAACUAAACUUUUACUUUAUAAAAAUUGCACUCUUCAAACUGAUGUCAUCAGUAUUCAUCAGGAAAUAUGCACAAUAGCAAGAGAACAUUAGUUUAAUGCGGAUUUAAAGUAGAUUUUUAUAUUUAAAAAAUAAGAAAUUAUAUGUAGCUCAUCAAUAACUCCACCUAAAUAGUUUGUGCUUAGCCGG
rnacentral:misc_RNA from 1 species